rnacentral:rRNA from 1 species
AAUGAACGUUGGCGGCGUGGAUUAGGCAUGCAAGUCGAGCGCGAACCCGCAAGGGGGAGAGCGGCAAACGGGGUAGUAACGGGUAGGUGACGUACCCUCGGGACGGGGAUAGCCACGGGAAACUGUGGGUAAUACCCGGUAACCUCUUAAGGCGUAAGGCCUUGAGAGCAAAGUUGUGAUUCCACCGGAGGAGCGGCCUGCUUCGUAUUAGCUAGUUGGUGAGGUAACGGCUCACCAAGGCGACGAUGCGUAGGGGGUGUGAGAGCAUGACCCCCACCACUGGGACUGAGAUACUGCCCAGACACCUACGGGUGGCUGCAGUCGAGAAUCUUCGGCAAUGGGCGCAAGCCUGACCGAGCGACGCCGCGUGUGGGAUGAAGGCCCUUGGGUUGUAAACCACUGUCAGAGGGGAUGAAGUGUUCCGGAGCAAUCUCCGGGAUUUGACAUAGCCUCAGAGGAAGCACGGGCUAAGUUCGUGCCAGCCGCCGCAGUAAUAC